rnacentral:rRNA from 1 species
CGGGAAUUUUGGGCAAUGGGGGCAACCCUGACCCAGCAACGCCGCGUGAGCGAUGAAGGCCUUCGGGUCGUAAAGCUCUGUCGGGAGGGAAGAAGGCCCUCGGGGUGAACAAUCCCGGGGGCUUGACGGUACCUCCAAAGGAAGCGCCGGCUAACUCCGUGCCAGCAGCCGCGGUAAUACGGAGGGCGCAAGCGUUGUUCGGAAUCACUGGGCGUAAAGCGCGUGUAGGCGGCUUGGUAAGUCGGGUGUGAAAGCCCGGGGCCUAACCCCGGAACUGCACUCGAAACUGCCUCGCUCGAGUCCCGGAGAGGAUGGUGGAAUUCCCGGUGUAGUGGUGAAAUACGUAGGUAUCGGGAGGAACACCAGCGGCGAAGGCGGCCAUCUGGACGGUGACUGACGCUGAGACGCGAAAGCGUGGGGAGCAAAC